UACGAAGGGUGCUAGCGUUGUUCGGAUUUACUGGGCGUAAAGCGCGCGUAGGCGGAUCGCUAAGUCAGGGGUGAAAUCCCAGGGCUCAACCCUGGAACUGCCUUUGAUACUGACGAUCUGGAGAUCGGGAGAGGUUGGUGGAAUUCCGAGUGUAGAGGUGAAAUUCGUAGAUAUUCGGAGGAACACCAGAAGCGAAGGCGGCCAACUGGCCCGAUACUGACGCUGAGGCGCGAAAGCCAGGGGAGCGAACGGG
rnacentral:rRNA from 1 species